GUGUCGUAUAUGGAGAGGAAGAAAGAGGAUAAAUCCUCUUAAGAACAUAAAUGCAAAUUCAGCCAAAUCAAACCCAAGAUCAAAGGAAAAACAUUGCAUGGAUGAAGAUCUCUCAUCAUCUAGCUCUAAUAAGCAAGUGUAGAGGAAUCAUAUCAAGAUGGACUCAAGCAUGAAAGGCUAACGGGUCAAGAGGAGGCAAGGAAGUGGAUACGGACACGGAUGCACAAGGUUGUACGAAUCACGAGCGGUUAUCACGAGCAAUAGAGAUCGAAGACCGAGUCAUAAGAUAGAUUGUACGGGGAUAAUGGAGUAUGUGCUUUAGUAAACAGGACUUAUACUUUAUUUUUGUAAAAGAUACAUAUUAAAACGAACUUUAAAGUAAGUCAAGGUGUUUUUAAUGAAAGAAAUUUUUA